GACGAACGCUGGCGGCGUGCUUAACACAUGCAAGUCGAACGGUGAACGAGGGAGCUUGCUCCCUCCGGAUCAGUGGCGAACGGGUGAGUAACACGUGAGCAAUCUGCCCCGAACUCUGGGAUAAGCGUUGGAAACGACGUCUAAUACCGGAUACGACGCGGGAGGGCAUCCUCUCCGCGUGGAAAGAACUUCGGUUCGGGAUGAGCUCGCGGCCUAUCAGCUUGUUGGUGAGGUAACGGCUCACCACGGCGACGACGGGUAGCCGGCCUGAGAGGGGGACAGGCCACAUUGGAGGUGAGACACGGACCAGAGGACUAUGGGAGGGAGCAGUGGGGAAUGGUAGGCAGUGGUGGGGAGGGUGACGGAGCGAGGCCGCGUGUGAGAUGGAGGUGUUGGGGUCGUAAAGACCUGUUAAGGGGGAAGAACAAAUGUGUCAGGGAAUAUGCCGGGCUUGACGGUACCGAAUUAAAAAGACACGGCUAACUACGUG
rnacentral:rRNA from 1 species